rnacentral:rRNA from 1 species
AUUGAACGCUGGCGGCAGGCCUAACACAUGCAAGUCGAGCGAGCGGCGGACGGGUGAGUAAUGUAUGGGGACUGCCCGUUAGAGGGGGAUAACUACUGGAAACGGUAGCUAAUAUCGCAUACUAUCGUGGAACCCAUAUGGGAUUAGCUAGUAGGUGAGGUAAUGGCUCACCUAGGCGACGAUCCCUAGCUGGUCUGUGAGGAUGAUCAGCCACACUGGGACUGAGACACGGCCCAGACUCCUACGGAGGCAGCAGUGGGGAAUAUUGCACAAUGGGCGCAAGCCUGAUGCAGCCAUGCCGCGUGUAUGAAGAAGGCCUUAGGGUUGUAAAGUACUUUCAGUCGGGAGGCGUUACCGACAGAAGAAGCACCGGCUAACUCCGUGCCAGCAGCCGCGGUAAUUC